AGUGAACGCUGGCGGUAGGCCUAACACAUGCAAGUCGAACGGCAGCACAGUAAGAGCUUGCUCUUACGGGUGGCGAGUGGCGGACGGGUGAGGAAUACAUCGGAAUCUACUUUUUCGUGGGGGAUAACGUAGGGAAACUUACGCUAAUACCGCAUACGACCUACGGGUGAAAGCAGGGGAUCUUCGGACCUUGCGCGAUUGAAUGAGCCGAUGUCGGAUUAGCUAGUUGGCGGGGUAAAGGCCCACCAAGGCGACGAUCCGUAGCUGGUCUGAGAGGAUGAUCAGCCACACUGGAACUGAGCCACGGUCAAGACUCCUACGGGAGGCAGCAGUGGGGAAUAUUGGACAAUGGGCGCAAGUCUGAUCCAGCCAUACCGCGUGGGUGAAGAAGGCCUUCGGGUUGUAAAGCCCUUUUGUUGGGAAAGAAAAGCAGCAGGUUAAUACCCCGCUGUUCUGACGGUACCCAAAGAAUAAGCACCGGCUAACUUCGUG
rnacentral:rRNA from 1 species